AGUGAACGCUGGCGGUAGGCCUAACACAUGCAAGUCGAACGGCAGCACAGUAAGAGCUUGCUCUUACGGGUGGCGAGUGGCGGACGGGUGAGGAAUACAUCGGAAUCUACUUUUUCGUGGGGGAUAACGUAGGGAAACUUACGCUAAUACCGCAUACGACCUACGGGUGAAAGCAGGGGAUCUUCGGACCUUGCGCGAUUGAAUGAGCCGAUGUCGGAUUAGCUAGUUGGCGGGGUAAAGGCCCACCAAGGCGACGAUCCGUAGCUGGUCUGAGAGGAUGAUCAGCCACACUGGAACUGAGACACGGUCCAGACUCCUACGGGAGGCAGCAGUGGGGAAUAUUGGACAAUGGGCGAAAGCCUGAUCCAGCCAUACCGCGUGGGUGAAGAAGGCCUUCGGGUUGUAAAGCCCUUUUGUUGGGAAAGAAAAGCAGCAGGUUAAUACCCCGAUGUUCUGACGGUACCCAAAGAAUAAGCACCGGCUAACUUCGUG
rnacentral:rRNA from 1 species